rnacentral:rRNA from 1 species
AUUGCACGCUGGCGGCAGGCCUAACACAUGCAAGUCGAACGAGUGGCGGACGGGUGAGUUAUGACCGGGAAACUUCCUGUUGGAGGGGGAUAACUACUGGAAACGGUAACUAAUAACGCAUACCAUCGGAUGUGCCCAGAUGGGAUUAGCUAGUAGUUGGGGUAAAGGCUCACCUAGGCGACGAUCCCUAGCUGGUCUGAGAGGAUGACCAGCCACACGGGAACUGUGACACGGUCCAAACUCCUACGGGAGGCAGCAGUGGGGAAUAUUGAACAGUGGGCGCAAGGCUGAUGCAGCCAUACCGCGUGUAUGAAGAAGGCCUUCGGGUUGUAAAGUACUUUCAGCGGGAAGGCGUUACCCGCAGAAGAAGCACCGGCUAACUCCGUGCCAGCCGCCGCGGUAAUAC